AGAGACAGGGUCUCACUAUGUUGCCCAGCUUGGUCUCAAACUUCUGGCCUCAAAUGAUCCUCCCACCUUGGCCCCCAAAUCUGUGGAUUACAGAUGUGAGCCACUGCGCCCAGCCUCGAGUGUGGGCCAGGGAAGCCAAAAGAUUGGACACCCCUGUUCUAGAUGAACCUGAGGACACAUUCCUCAUGACCACGCUGACCAUGAGCUCCACCUCAGGAGGAGCUACACCUUCAUCACCAUCACACGCAACCUGUGGGCUGGCACGAUGAUGCCUGUGUCUGCAGCAGUGGGGCCCCUCGUCUCCUCCAUCACUGCAUAAAACCCUCCUGUCACUUUCCGUCAGGGAGGCACUGCUUUGGAGAAUCGUCCCAGGGCUCUUCUUACCUGUGGCGAGUCAUAAAACUCCUACUGAUCCAAACCUGCGUUCUCGUGGAGAGCCGUUUGAGAGUCACCAGGUGAAUGAACCCCGGUUUUUUUCUGGGUAACAGGUCGAAUGUGAAUUACUUAUUUUCACAAGCUCUUGACAUGUUCCGUCAAAUUGCUGUUUCCCAAAGAGUGGACUCUUCCCAAAGAGUGGACCAAAGAGGUGACAUAUAAGUGUGUGGGACCAUUGCAUCUUAUCCCAGAGAUCCACUCCUGAUCUGGCAUUAUUCAAAAUCUGCUGAAUUCAAAACGAUCCUGUACUUCCUGCUCACCAGGUCUGAAAAGAAAAAAGAAAAAAGAAGAAGAAGGAAAGACUACACCUGACAAAAGACAGGGGGAGACAUUUAUAUUAGUUUGCCAGUUUGAGGAAAUGCCUUACUUGGCAAUAUUGUAAAUCCAGUUUACAGCUCACUUAACUGGACAGCUUCGAAAUGACUUAUUUUUUGGCAUACAUUUUAAAAGCAGGAGAGCUGAGACAAAAAUGAGAAUUUAUUAGUAUUUAACAUUUGAUAAAAUACCUCGAAUAUUUAAAAUGCUCAUAAAAUGCUAUUACACUGUG